UCUUUCACCAAAACUCAUUUUCCACCCCACAAAAUGCUCCCCGCCAAACAGAGAAAGAAACCCAUGAAGAGUUCGCUGCCGAGAGAAACACACCCAUGAAGAUUAGGCCGUCGACUUGGUUUUCAUCUCCAGCAAAUUUCGCUCAAUUGAACCGUGAAUAAGCCCAAGGUUUUCAGCUACAUAACUAUUACUCUUGCAUAAACCCUAACCUCCUACCCAUUUUGCCAUCGUAGUAGUGACUAUCUCCGGCCGGCGUCAUUCAACAGUUCCAUUGAGAGGCCAACUUCUUCAGAUCUUAUCUCCAUCCCAUUUUGCGAGUAAAGUUUAUUAUUUGUUUCAUAUCCUUUGCACAUUUCUUGGGAAGAAGCACAAAGCACUACUUUGAAGAUUGCAAGAGGAAAGUUUGCUGUCCACAGUGUGUAGUUGGAAUUCAGAAAUGUUUUGCAGUUGAAAAGGAAGGCAGUAACAAAGGUAGGCUAUUCAAAACUUGCAGUAGCUCUUGCGAAUUUUUUGACUGGGUAAGAACAGAAGAAUCAAGUGGAGAGUCGAGUGUCAUUAAUGAGGAAGUGAUGAAUCCUACUGCUAAUGAGGAAGUCGACAAUUUGCCAAGUAUGUUCGAACAUCUAGCUCGAAUUGUCGAGAAACGAAACGUCAAGAUUUUAUUGAACGUGACCUUUCGCAAAGGAAAAGAGCUCUCGAACGAUAAUGGAGAAGAAAGGGGCCGACAUGAUUAUUAGUUAUAUUCAUUCUCGUUCCCAAAAUAGUUGUGUGUUUGGGCUUGUAAUACCGAGAGACGAUGAAGAAAAUCGAAGAAGAACAAUUUUCAUUUUGAAAGCAUGCCAUUUUCGUUCUUAUUUUCA